GAAUCUCUCCACCACAUCUAUCCUCCUCCUCAUUCUCAUUCACCUCUCUCUCUCUCUCUCCGAGAUAUAGCCGCUUGUAAUAUCUAAACCCAUUUCCGAGCAUUCCUUGCCCGUUGAUCCCAAACCCUCAGACAACUCAAACACCUCGCCUCUAUCAAAUCUAAUCUUGCUACCCUCAAAUCCCCUCUCUCAGACAAGACCCAACUCCGCAGAUCCGAUGCCCUCUCGCAGAAAGUCACCAGUCUACUCCAAAAGUUCGAAUCCAUUCAAGGUGGUGACUCGAUGAUUCGGGAAGGGAAAAGGGCAAUAAACAGUGAACUGAUUCAGCAAUUGGAGUACGUUAAUGGCAUGGUAGCGAAAAGGCAAGAGACUCCUUCCAAAUCAAUAAAAAAGGUUUUUGGCACUUCAUGAGCACAAAGAAAUCCCUGCAGCCUGCUAGAGUGCAUUUGAUGUUGCCUGUUUACGCAUGGAAGAGAGACUAGCCUACUCCAAUUUUGAACAGGGUGUAUGGUUGCUCUACUGGUAGUGGCUUCUACUCUGCUGGCAGCAGUGGCCGUUUUACUUUGUGAUUUUGACCAUAUCAAUAAGUUUUGGUACUACACAGGGAAAGCCCAAUUUUGUUCCAUUUAAUGAGGAAUUGAUGAAAUCGACUCGAGGUAUUUCGUAUGUCCUAUGCUUUCAAAAAUAGGUAAAUGAGAUUUGAGACUCUUGUUUCAGUUUUAGAAAAUUUCUUGCUUCAAUUUGUUGAUGGUGUGCUUCCCAUCGAUUUGGAUCUCACAGUUGUUCUUUGGCUGUUUCAUCAAUCAAAGAUAUGUUAUCUCAAAAAAGAUUUUGUAAAAUAGUUUUUUCUAUAUGAGUCUGUUUUAAUUAAUUUAUUGAAUUCAAUCUUUUCUAUAUGGGUUUCGUAAGGAGCACGCAAACACAGUUGGUUUUGAGAAAGGCGCAUCGGUGAUAUUGGAUGAUUCAUGGUUCUCUCAAGACAUCUUUUUGCAUCGUUUGUGCAAGGUAGAAUUCUUUUGUUGUUUGAACAUAUAGAAAUGCUAGGAAGGUUCAUAGUAAGGCUGAUUGAAGAGGAAAUUUAGGAGAAAAGUGCAAACAUUGCUCACAUGUGCAAGAUCCAGGUUAAUGAUUUGCCUUGGUUGGCAGACAGUACCAAUCAUCUAUAUCCAGCAUGCACAUGUGGCAUACUUGAUGAGUGAACCUGUCUUGUGACGCCUGGUGAAUGGCCAGGAUCUCUUACAUGUGUACAGUGAAUCUCCUCUUUCAUAUGCUUAUCUUCAGCUGUAUAGAUGUGCUUACCAAUUUUAAUCAUUCGAAAAAUCAAAAUCAAAUUUGAAAUCAUACAGGUAGCAAGCUAAUCAAUUUUUAUGCAUAAAUUACUGUAGCUAAGCUUGCGUUUGGCUGCACCAAAUAUCAUGAUAUUUUUCAUCUAAUUAGACUGAUUAACCAUCAAAUUUCAUGAUAUUUAGUGCAACCAAAAGCACCCUACACUGGAAAUAUUGAAAAUGGUUCAAAAGAUGGGGAUAAGAUUCAUUAACUUGGUUGAGUGCUUUAAAGCUUGCCCAGUUAUCAAAACAGCUACUUUUCUUUUCUAAUGGACAAUUAGAUUUCAUUUAAUUUCAGGAGUUCUUUUCAUUGGUCCUAAAAGCCGAUGUCGUGGAUGGUGAUCUUUUGUCAUGGGUGUGUAUACUAAUGCUCUCUCUCGCUUUGUGUUUCGUCUUCUUGUUUUAAAGUGUCUUAAUGGCUAGGAUUGAUUUUUAUGGACACUAUGUAAGUGAACCUUGCAAGGGGCUCAUGGCUUCUACAUGCCAAUCUGCCACACAUUUGUGAGAUCCAAGCUGCUCAACAAGAGGGUCCCAUUGUCUAAAUGCGGUGGCCCAAAAGCCUUUAUCUUUUAGAAAGACAGGUUAACUGAAGGAUUUCUAAAGAUUUUGUUGCUGCAUUGUUGAUUAAAAGAAUGAUGUAGUUUUUUGCUGAUGUAAUUGGAUAUUGGCGAUGUGCGGCUAAUUCGCAAGAAGA